GAUGAACGCUGGCGGCGUGCCUAACACAUGCAAGUCGAACGAAGCUUGACGGAUGAUUUCUUCGGAAUGAAACCAGAUAUGACUUAGUGGCGGACGGGUGAGUAACACGUGAGCAACCUGCCUUUCAGAGGGGGAUAACGGCUGGAAACGGUCGCUAAUACCGCAUGAUGUGUUCGGAUGGCAUCAUCUGAACAUCAAAGAUUUAUCGCUGAAAGAUGGGCUCGCGUCUGAUUAGAUAGUUGGUGGGGUAACGGCCUACCAAGUCUACGAUCAGUAGCCGGACUGAGAGGUUGAACGGCCACAUUGGGACUGAGAUCCGGCACAGUCUCCUACGGGAGGCAGCAGUGAGGAAUAUUGCACAAUGGGGGAAACCCUGAUGCAGCAACGCCGCGUGAAGGAUGACGGUUUUCGGAUUGUAAACUUCUUUUCUUAGUGACGAAGACAGUGACGGUAGCUAAGGAAUAAGCAUCGGCUAACUACGUG
rnacentral:rRNA from 1 species